rnacentral:rRNA from 1 species
UUAAAUUGAAGAGUUUGAUCAUGGCUCAGAUUGAACGCUGGCGGCAGGCCUAACACAUGCAAGUCGAACGGUAACAGGAAGAAGGUUGCU